rnacentral:rRNA from 1 species
AAUGGAGAGUUUGAUCCUGGCUCAGGAUGAACGCUGGCGGCGUGCCUAAUACAUGCAAGUCGAACGCACUGAUUUUAUCAGUGAGUGGCGAACGGGUGAGUAAUACAUAAGUAACCUGCCCUCAUGAGGGGGAUAACUAUUAGAAAUGAUAGCUAAGACCGCAUAGGUGAAGGGGUCGCAUGACCGCUUCAUUAAAUAUCCGUAUGGAUAGCAGGAGGAUGGACUUAUGGCGCAUUAGCUGGUUGGUGAGGUAACGGCUCACCAAGGCGACGAUGCGUAGCCGACCUGAGAGGGUGGACGGCCACACUGGGACUGAGACACGGCCCAGACUCCUACGGGAGGCAGCAGU